rnacentral:rRNA from 1 species
UGUUGGUUUCUCCCUUCUGACGAACCAUGAUGUCAUUUAUUUGGUGUUGUGGGGAAUCAGGACUGUUACUUUGAAAAAAUUAGAGUGUUUAAAGCAGGCUCACGCUUGAAUACAUUAGCAUGGAAUAAUGAAAUAGGACGUUUGAUUCUAUUUUGUUGGUUUCUAGGAUCGACGUAAUGAUUAAUAGGGAUAGUUGGGGGCAUUAGUAUUCAAUUGUCAGAGGCGAAAUUCUUGGAUUUAUUGAAGACUAACUACUGCGAAAGCAUUUGCCAAGGAUGUUUUCAUUAAUCAAGAACGAAAGUUAGGGGAUCGAAGACGAUCAGAUACCGUCGUAGUCUUAACCAUAAACUAUGCCGACUAGGGAUCGGAUGAUGUUAAUUUUUUAAUGACUCAUUCGGCGCCUUACG